UACAGAGGAGCCAAGCGUUGUCCGGAUUGACUGGGCGUAAAGCGCACGCAGGCGGAUGCGCGCGUGGGGUGUGAAAUCUGGCCGCUUAACGGCCAGGCGCCAUCCCAUACGGCGCGUCUGGAGUGAUGCAGAGGUCGAUGGAAUUGCCGGUGUAGUGGUGAAAUGCGUAGAGAUCGGCAGGAACACCCAGGGGGAAACCAGUCGACUGGGCAUCUACUGACGCUGAUGUGCGAAAGCUAGGGGAGCGAACGGG
rnacentral:rRNA from 1 species